rnacentral:misc_RNA from 1 species
AACAAGGCGUACCUGCGGACCUGCGGAGGGAUCAUUACAAGUGACCCCGGUUUACCACCGGGAUGUUCAUAACCCUUUGUUGUCCGACUCUGUUGCCUCCGGGGCGACCCUGCCUUCGGGCGGGGGCUCCGGGUGGACACUUCAAACUCUUGCGUAACUUUGCAGUCUGAGUAAACUUAAUUAAUAAAUUAAAACUUUCAACAACGGAUCU